CUCGGAGCAGAACAGACCAGACCAGACGACAUUCAAUUUAUUGACGGACAAAGUGGCUAUAGAGAAGGCGACGUUCUGGCGACGGACACAUCGGGAUGGAAAAACUCGAAAUGGAUGCGAGGCAGCCGAAUUGGGGAGCUCUUCAAACAGAAACGAAAAGGAACGAAUCAUUAAUCAAAUUGAAGGAGAGAGUCAAAGACAAUCUUUAAAAUCCCCUAAGUGCAUGGCGACAUAAAAAUCUGACACAAUAAUAUGCAGCACUUGGGGGAUUACGAAAGUGUCAAUAAGAGUGAAAAGGUAAAGUUGGAAAAAGUGUGUUUUAAUAGAAUAAAAACGGUUUUAAAGCACAUUAAAUACUUAUCAUCAUCAGCAUUAUAAAACUAAAUUGCAACAGAUGGUCAGGAAUCCAUAUAGUUUAAUAAAAUAUGAAUAAAGCUUUGAUGGAAGCGCAA